rnacentral:rRNA from 1 species
UAACGCGUGGGUAACCUGCCCUAUACACAUGGAUAACAUACUGAAAAGUUUACUAAUACAUGAUAAUAUAUAUUUGCGGCAUCGUAGAUAUAUCAAAGUGUUAGCGGUAUAGGAUGGACCCGCGUCUGAUUAGCUAGUUGGUGAGAUAACUGCCCACCAAGGCGACGAUCAGUAGCCGACCUGAGAGGGUGAUCGGCCACAUUGGAACUGAGACACGGUCCAAACUCCUACGGGAGGCAGCAGGA